rnacentral:tRNA from 1 species
GGCUCAAUGGCCUAGGGGUAUGAUUCUCGCUUCGGGUGCGAGAGGUCCCGGGUUCAAAUCCCGGUUGAGCCC